CAGAUCAAGAGCAUCUCAUCCUCCGGCUGCUGAGUCAUCCUGCUCUGGCAGUUAUUUAAACAGAAGGCUCCAGGAGACAUACAAUCAACACUCCACUCAGACAAUGCCCAGACCUCCAGAAACCAUGUGUCAAGCUCGGAUUGCCUUAGACAGGUGCAAUUUAAGAACAGCUUUCAUCCUCUUUUCUCUCAUAUUGUCACACUAUGUGUUCUGACUUCUGGCUCCUUUCCUCACAAGAAGCUCACCCAGCUGGAACUCUUAUGGGACCUUGGCACCAGAGACCACAAAUUCCUCUUUGAAGUUUUCUAACAGCAACAAUGGUAUUUCUGACUUGGCUUUCUUGUAUUUCUCUCACGUUAACAAAAUUGGUUCAGCAUCUACCAUGGGCUACAUGCUGAGCUACAGAGUUUCGCUCUGUCGCCCAGGCUGGAGUGCAGUGGCGCGCGAUCUCGGUUCACUGCAAGCUCCACCUCCCGGGUUCACGCCAUUCUCCUGCCUCAGCCUCCUGAGUAGCUGGGACUACAGGCGCCCGCCACCACACCCAGGAAUCCAACUUGCUGUUUGCUAUCACAUGUGCUAUACAUGCUGUUGAUGAAACUGCUAAAGGGGCUGAAUGUGACUGACGUCUUUGGAAGGAUGAGACUUAGCGUGCCUGUACAGUUGUGUCCAAAUGCUGUCCUCAUCUCCCAAUGAAAAGCUGAACUAGGGCCAUGCCUGGGACAGACAGAGAAUGGCCUUCCAGCAGACAUGCCAAGAAGCAAGCCAGGGUCAGUGAGUGAAGAGGAGGGCAGGCCCAUUUGAAGCAACACAGUUUAUGAACAAAACCCAUCAGAAGAUGUCAGAAGAUAAGGAUUUUUGUCCUGAUGCUACACUUACCAGCUGUCCCUCAGUGUUCUACUUCUUAAAAAAAGAGAGAUGGAUAAACAGAGGCAACCCGAGGAUAAAGGCCUUGCUCAGUGUCACACAUUUCAGUCACUAAAUAAGACACAAUGGAUGCCAGUAUUCUCAUCCCCUCACAAAUAAAGAGCCUUCAAGCUCUUGCAGUCAACAAGAACUUUUGGAAUGAUUUCACUGCCUGAAAAGGCAGAUACAUAGGUGACACCCACAAAUAGGAAGAAAAUCAACCUGAACCUGAGUGUGUGGGCUCACUGACUCUAAGCAGUAGAGACAGAAGAAAAAGUUUUAGCAAAGAAGGGUUCUGAAAGAAAAUAAAUAUAGCUCGUUAUCAAGUGCUGUUUUUACACAGUAAAACAUGGGCAAAAUUACUCUUCUUUAAGUAGUAAUUCUUAUCUCUUGAUUAAGUCACCUACUCAUUCAUUUAAUAAAUACAUACUGAUUGUUUUCUAUGUGUUGAGCACUCAUCUCUGUAUUGGAAAUAUAAUAAUGACCAAAGUUGACAAUAGUAAUAACAAUAAUAGCUAAUAUAGCAGGCACUAAUAAUUAUUUGUUGAGUAAUAUGUCAAAAUUCAGUGUGAACAGCAUUCUAUUUGGGGCUGCAUCCACUGACUAUAACACAGCUAAUCUAUCUGAAAUGUUCCAGCUUUGGGCCUCUCUAACAGAAGAAGCUGUUGUUGGGCCUGCCUCUAGUUGGCGAUGCAUCCACCAAUGAGAAUGAAUUUAUGAUCGACCACUCUUCCUGUAAAGGCCGCUGGAACUGACAGCAUUGUGAUUUUCUUUUACUGUUAGUUUUAAAUUACUAGAACCAACUCAAUUACUAGAACGAACUUUACUUCUUUGUUUCCUACUUAUCAAAACAGUAAAAACAACAAGUAAAAGAAAUGCCAUCUUAAUAUUGUUUUGAUGACAAAACAGUAUUCCUUUUAGUUGUGCUUCAAAUGGAAUAAGAUGCAAACAGGCUUGGUAUGGUGGCUCACCCCUGUAAUCCCAGCCCUUUGGGAGGCCAAGGUGGAAGGAUUGCUUGAGGCCAUGAGUUUGAGACCAGCCUGCGCAACAUAGCAAGACCGUGUCUCUACAAAAAAUAAAAAAUUAGCUGAGUGUAGUGGUGUGUGCUUGUGGUCCCAGCUACUUUUGAGGCUGAGGAGGGAGAAUCUCUUGAGCCCAGAAGGUCGAAGUUGCAGUGAGCCGUGAUCGUGCCAUUGCUCUCCAGCUUGGACAACAAAGCAAGACCCUAUGUCAAAAAAUAAAUAAAUAAAAGACAUAAACAUAUCUGAGAUUAACUUUCAGUGGUAAAUUUGUUCCAUAUAUGAUUUUUAAGGUUAAAUGCUUUGGAAGCUUUAAAAACCAUUUCAGCCCUUUUAAAUGCCAACUUACACUGAUGAUGCUCUCAGAUGUUAGGAAAUCUUUUGAGCAGAAAAUGGAAGUGGGGGUGUUGAGGCAGGGAGGAGAGUGAUGCAAUAUUCCUUAGUGUCAUCCUGUGAUUUCACAAUUUGUUUUUCAAUCUGUUUGGACUUUCAAAAGGGAAGACUCUCAUAUGUCAACAAGCCCAUGAACUGAAGCUUAAAACACUGGAAACAACAACUGUAGAGUUUCAAGUAUAUGUACAUUUAUGUAUUCAUGUUCCUUGAUGGGAAUGCUGGCUGGUGUGAAUGUUCAAUCUCCUGAGAAAUGUAAAUUUUUCUCUGACAGAUUUAUUAGCUUGCUGUAUCUGAGCACAUGAGCAAAAACAAUGCCUAAUAAGAAAACUUUCUCUCUCCUUCAAAGUCAAACUUGGGAGAAAUGAAGGGAAAUCGAGUUUUCUUUGCUUGACAGUGUUCAACAUUCUUGUAGUCAGUGUGCUCAUGAAGAUUGCAAACUUUUUUUUUUUUUUAGAGCAGCUAGGACUACAGGCGCGCACCACCACACCCAGCUAAUUUGUGUAUUUUUAGUAGAGAUGGGGUUUUAACUAUGUUGGCCAAGCUUGUCUCAAACUCCUGACCUCAAGUGAUCCAUUCGACAGCUCUUUCUUUUUUUUUUUUUUUUUUGAGACAAAGUCUCGCUCUGUCACCCAGGCUGGAGUGCAGUGGUAUGAUCUCAGCUCACUGCAACCUCCGCCUCCUGGGUUCAAGCAAUUCUCAUGCCUUAGCCUCCCGAAU
rnacentral:lncRNA from 1 species